rnacentral:rRNA from 1 species
AGAGUUUGAUCCUGGCUCAGGAUGAACGCUGGCGGCGUGCUUAACACAUGCAAGUCGAACGAAGCACUCUAUUUGAUUUCCUUCGGGAUUGAUUAUUUUGUGACUGAGUGGCGGACGGGUGAGUAACGCGUGGGUAACCUGCCUUGUACAGGGGAAUAACAGUUGGAAACGGCUGCUAAUACCGCAUAAGCGCACAGUACCGCAUGGUAUAGUGUGAAAAACUCCGGUGGUAUAAGAUGGACCCGCGUUUGAUUAGCUAGUUGGUGGGGUAACGGCCUACCAAGGCGACGAUCAAUAGCCGACCUGAGAGGGUGACCGGCCACAUUGGGACUGAGACACGGCCCAAACUCCUACGGGAGGCAGCAGUGGGGAAUAUUGCACAAUGGGCGAAAGCCUGAUGCAGCGACGCCGCGUGAGCGAAGAAGUAUUUCGGUAUGUAAAGCUCUAUCAGCAGGGAAGAUAAUGACGGUACCUGACUAAGAAGCACCGGCUAAAUACGUGCCAGCAGCCGCGGUAAUACGUAUGGUGCAAGCGUUAUCCGGAUUUACUGGGUGUAAAGGGAGCGCAGGCGGUGCGGCAAGUCUGAUGUGAAAGCCCGGGGCUCAACCCCGGUACUGCAUUGGAAACUGUCGUACUAGAGUGUCGGAGGGGUAAGCGGAAUUCCUAGUGUAGCGGUGAAAUGCGUAGAUAUUAGGAGGAACACCAGUGGCGAAGGCGGCUUACUGGACGAUAACUGACGCUGAGGCUCGAAAGCGUGGGGAGCAAACAGGAUUAGAUACCCUGGUAGUCCACGCCAUAAAACGAUGAAUACUAGGUGUCGGGAGGCAUUGCCUUUCGGUGCCGUCGCAAACGCAGUAAGUAUUCCACCUGGGGAGUACGUUCGCAAGAAUGAAACUCAAAGAAAUUGACGGGGACCCGCACAAGCGGUGGAGCAUGUGGUUUAAUUCGAAGCAACGCGAAGAACCUUACCAAGUCUUGACAUCCUUCUGACCGGUACUUAAUCGUACCUUCUCUUCGGAGCAGGAGUGACAGGUGGUGCAUGGUUGUCGUCAGCUCGUGUCGUGAGAUGUUGGGUUAAGUCCCGCAACGAGCGCAACCCUUAUCUUUAGUAGCCAGCGGCUUGGCCGGGCACUCUAGAGAGACUGCCAGGGAUAACCUGGAGGAAGGCGGGGAUGACGUCAAAUCAUCAUGCCCCUUAUGACUUGGGCUACACACGUGCUACAAUGGCGUAAACAAAGGGAAGCAAAGCUGUGAGGCCGAGCAAAUCUCAAAAAUAACGUCUCAGUUCGGACUGUAGUCUGCAACCCGACUACACGAAGCUGGAAUCGCUAGUAAUCGCAGAUCAGAAUGCUGCGGUGAAAACGUUCCUCGGGUCUUGCACACACCGCCCGUCA